rnacentral:rRNA from 1 species
UGAGGAAUAUUGGUCAAUGGGCGGAAGCCUGAACCAGCUAUGCCGCGUGAAGGAAGAAGGUCCUAUGGAUUUUAAACUUCUUUUGUCGGAGAGCAAUAAGGGUCUCGUGAGAUCCGAUGAGAGUAUCCGACGAAUAAGCAUCGGCUAACUCCGUGCCAGCAGCCGCGGUAAUACGGAAGGUCCGGGCGUUAUCCGGAUUUAUUGGGUUUAAAGGGAGCGUAGGCCGUCUUAUAAGCGUGUUGUGAAAUGUCGGGGCGUCAACCUGGGCAUUGCAGCGCGAACUGUGAGACUUGAGUGCGCAGGAAGUAGGCGGAAUUCGUCGUGUAGCGGUGAAAUGCUUAGAUAUGACGAAGAACUCCGAUUGCGAAGGCAGCCUGCUGUAGCGCAACUGACGCUGAAG